CGUCCUUGCAGUAUCUGAGGCAGCACAUUAACAGCCCGUGGUAAGGGGGGACUUGCAGUAUCUGAGGCAUCAGAAGCAAAGGCAGCAGACUCAUGUUCAGUUGUCGUUCUUUUAGCUGCAAAGUCAACUUUCCUCUGAUAAUGAUCACACAAAUCAGAGCUCUGUGAGUCAACACUCUCCUCUGGUACUGAUCACAGGUGUGUGGUAGAGAGAUCUCAACACUCUCCUCUGGUACUGAUCACAGGUGUGUGGUAGAGAGAUCUCAACACUCUCCUCUGGUACUGAUCACAGGUGUGUGGUAGAGAGAUCUCAACACUCUCCUCUGGUACUGAUCACAGGUGUGUGGUAGAGAGAUCUCAACACUCUCCUCUGAUACUGAUCACAGGUGUGUGGUAGAGAGAUCUCAACACUCUCCUCUGGUACUGAUCACAGGUGUGUGGUAGAGAGAUCUGAACACUCUCCUCUGGUACUGAUCACAGGUGUGUGGUAGAGAGAUCUGAACACUCUCCUCUGGUACUGAUCACAGGUGUGUGGUAGAGAGAUCUCAACACUCUCCUCUGGUACUGAUCACAGGUGUGUGGUAGAGAGAUCUGAACACUCUCCUCUGGUACUGAUCACAGGUGUGUGGUAGAGAGAUCUCAACACUCUCCUCUGGUACUGAUCACAGGUGUGUGGUAGAGAGAUCAACACUCUCCUCUGAUACUGAUCACAGGUGUGUGGUAGAGAGAUCAACACUCUCCUCUGAUACUGAUCACAGGUGUGUGGUAGAGAGAUCAACACUCUCCUCUGAUACUGAUCACAGGUGUGUGGUAGAGAGAUCAACACUCUCCUCUGAUACUGAUCACAGGUGUGUGGUAGAGAGAUCUCAACACUCUCCUCUGAUACUGAUCACAGGUGUGUGGUAGAGAGAUCUCAACACUCUCCUCUGAUACUGAUCACAGGUGUGUGGUAGAGAGAUCUCAACACUCUCUAGGGUGGCAGCUGGACCUAGGCUGGCAUCUGGACCUAGGGUGGCAUCUGGACCUAGGCUGGCAUCUGGACCUAGGGUGGCAUCUGGACCUAGGGUGGCAUCUGGACCUUGACUGGCAUCUGGACCUAGGGUGGCAUCUGGACCUAGACUGGCAUCUGAACCUAGGCUGGCAUCUGGACCUAGACUGGCAUCUGGACCUAGACUGGCAUAUGGAUACAGUCUUCCUCCCUCUGUCCUUAUAUAGUGCACUACUUUUGACCAGGACCCAUAGGCCUCUAGUAGUGCACUAUAUAUACUGAUAGACUGGGAGACUGGUAGACUGGUAGACUGAUAGACUGGUAGACUGGUAGACUGGUAUAUUGAUAGACUGAUAGACGGGUAGACUGGUAGACUGGUAUAUUGAUAGACUGAUAGACUGGUAGACUGAUAGACUGGUAGACUGAUAGACUGGUAGA